GAUGAACGCUGGCGGCGUGCCUAACACAUGCAAGUCGAGCGGCAGCGAGGGGUGCUUGCACCCUGUCGGCGAGCGGCGGACGGCUGAGUAACGCGUGGGAACGUGCCCCAAAGUGAGGAAUAACUGCCCGAAAGGGUAGCUAAUACCGCAUAUUAUCUUCGGAUCAAAGGAUUUAUCCGCUUUGGGAGCGGCUCGCGUCGGAUUAGGUAGUUGGUGAGGUAAUGGCUCACCAAGCCGACGAUCCGUAGCUGGUCUGAGAGGAUGACCAGCCAGACUGGAACUGAGACACGGUCCAGACUCCUACGGGAGGCAGCAGUGAGGAAUCUUCCACAAUGGGCGAAAGCCUGAUGGAGCAACGCCGCGUGCAGGACGAAGGCCUUCGGGUUGUAAACUGCUUUUAUAAGUGAGGAAUAUGACGGUAACUUAUGAAUAAGGAUCGGCUAACUACGG
rnacentral:rRNA from 1 species